rnacentral:rRNA from 1 species
UACGUAGGGGGCAAGCGUUGUCCGGAUUCAUUGGGCGUAAAGAGCGUGUAGGCGGCCAGGUAGGUCGGUUGUGAAAACUGGAGGCUCAACCUUCAGACGUCGACCGAAACCAUCUGGCUAGAGUCCGGGAGAGGAGAGUGGAAUUCCUGGUGUAGCGGUGAAAUGCGCAGAUAUCAGGAAGAACACCCGUGGCGAAAGCGGCUCUCUGGAACGGUACUGACGCUGAGACGCGAAAGCGUGGGGAGCGAGCAGG